CUACGGGCGGCAGCAGUGGGGAAUAUUGCGCAAUGGGCGAAAGCCUGACGCAGCAACGCCGCGUGAGUGAUGAAGGCCUUCGGGUCGUAAAGCUCUGUCGGGAGGGAAGAACACCUUCGGGUCUGACGGUACCUCCCGAGGAAGCACAGGCUAACUCCGUGCCAGCAGCCGCGGUAAUACGGAGUGUGCAAGCGUUGUUCGGAAUUACUGGGCGUAAAGCGCGCGUAGGCGGCUUGGUAAGUCAGAUGUGAAAUCCCUCGGCUCAACCGAGGAACUGCAUUUGAAACUGCCAGGCUUGAGUACGGGAGGGGGAAGCGGAAUUCCCAGUGUAGAGGUGAAAUUCGUAGAUAUUGGGAGGAACACCAGCGGCGAAGGCGGCUUCCUGGACCGAUACUGACGCUGAGGCGCGAAAGCGUGGGGAUCAAACAGGAUUAGAUACCCCAGUAGUC
rnacentral:rRNA from 1 species